AUCCAGCUUAUGAGUCCCGAACAGAACUAAACGCGCGUCGUGGAU
rnacentral:hammerhead_ribozyme from 1 species